ACAGCAGCAGCCACGGUAAUACGAAGGGUGCAAGCGUUAAUCGGAAUUACUGGGCGUAAAGCGUGCGUAGGCGGUUUGUUAAGUCUGUUGUGAAAUCCCCGGGCUCAACCUGGGAAUGGCAAUGGAUACUGGCAAGCUAGAGUGUGUCAGAGGAUGGUGGAAUUCCCGGUGUAGCGGUGAAAUGCGUAGAGAUCGGGAGGAACAUCAGUGGCGAAGGCGGCCAUCUGGGACAACACUGACGCUGGGGCACGAAAGCGUGGGGAGCAAACAGGAUUAGAUACCCCAGUAGUCCCUGUCUCUUAUAC
rnacentral:rRNA from 1 species